UUGUCCCUCCCUCCUUCCCUCCCUCCCUCCCUCUCUCUGGCUGGCUGCUGAAAGUAGGUUAGUUAGCCUGACGCCCAACUCUACUACUCUUUUCCACCUAAUUCCAAGGAAGCCCCUCGGGUACUGGAUGAAUGCCUGGCCGCUGUGGUUGUCUGGAUGAGGAUGAAUAAGCUGAGGAUCGAUCCUGACAAGACAGAGGUCCUCCUGGUCAAUCGACAUCCCUUCAGUGGUGGUGACUGAACACUCACAAAACAUGGGACAAGGUCCUCGGAGCAUUAAUGCACCUCCAGAACCAUCUUUGACUUCUGCCUCGGCUCAGAGCAUCCCACAUGUCCCAACAGCUUGACUUCCCUUCCAGAAGACAAAGAACUUGAUCCUCCCCAGAGAUGACCACCUCUUCAUCAGGAAGGUGAAACAUUCCAAAGUACCGAGCCCCUCCUCUCCUGGAAAGCUCCCCUUGGACUCCGAUGGGGAGAAUGGAAGAAGCAAGGCCUGUGGAGGGAGAGCAAAAACGCCAUUGAGCAUCUAGCCAGAAAAAGUAAAAAACAUGUCCAACAAAGGAUUGACAUCUGAGAAAGGUCAAGGCAAGAGAAAUGGGCAAGGGAAAAAGAGGGAGGCAAAACCACAAUCUGCCAAUCCAAUCCUCAGGAUCAACGUGGUGCAGCAGCUGCCAAUGUCCAUCCCAGUCUUCAAGAGGUUCCCUGCUGUCCCGCCAAAGAAGGCCCCCCCGGACAGACCAUCUAGAUGCCCCUUAGAAGAACCACUGCCCGCCAUGGCUGUCUUGGGAAGAGGGUUUGGGAAGCCACUUCCUAUAUUACUGCAGACUUUUGACUCAUCUUCAGCAAGGCCACCAGGCUAUUUCAUGCCUCAGCCACCAUCAGUCAAAAUGAGGCCGUACCAACCCAGAGAAACACCAACAGAUGUUCUCUUCUCUCCACCAAAGAAGCUCCUGAAGCAUCAGCCCACCUAUAUGCACAUAAUAGCCAGGCGGGAGUUGCCAUCCAUUCCACUCCCUCCGCAGCCUUCCCAGAAUGGUGGAGAGUCACAGACCUCCUUCAUAUAACUACUGCUGCGGCAGAGAACAUUGAGCCCACCAGCAGACCAGACCCUCUGCCUCUUCCUCACAGAGGGACACUUUCAUCCCCUGGAAGACCCCACAAGGAGCAGUAGCCCAUUCAGGAGAGGAGGAACUGUCAGGAGCAGAGGGCCGGGGAGGAGGCAGCCCAAUGGACCAUACUGGGCAGGGUCCACUUCUUUAAGGAAGGACAGGACACAGGGAUCUCCAAUGACUAUGGCUAUCCUGAGGACAACAACUCUGAAGAUUGAAAAAAUGGUGGCAUUCCUUCAGAUGUUUUCUUCCCUGCCAGUUGCAGCUCUGCACCAAGUGUGGGAUAGGAAAAAGCACCUGGCUGUUCAUAAUGGAGAACAAAACACAACAAAACAAAACAAAAAAAGCGGAUCCUCUGUGAUUUAUUUGUGCAAAAUUGCUUGGGGUUUUGCUACAGAAAAAGCAACACAUUCCAUUACACAGAGAAAUCCUCAGGGACACUUUGGGUCCCUCAAAUACUGGGAAGUCAGGGACUGUUUUCCUGAUAAUCGCACUCAAUCAUUUUUGUAGAAGUUGAGGCUAAAAGGAGAAUUUAAAUUCAAGCAGGAAGAGCAGACACUAGGUU